rnacentral:piRNA from 1 species
AGUAAGGUGGACAACAUUAGUGGUCU